AUCACUUGUCUUUUAAAUGAAGACCUGUAUGAAUGGUGAAACGAGGGCUUAACUGUCUCCCCCUUCCAGUCAAUGAAAUUGAUCUACCCGUGCAGAAGCGGGUAUAAUAAUACAAGACGAGAAGACCCUUUGGAGCUUAAGAUAAAAGACCAAUUAUGUUAAAAGCCCUAACAACUAAACUAAAUAAUACUGGUCCUAAUCUUCGGUUGGGGUGACCACGGGAGAAAACAAAACUCCCAUGCGGAUUGGGGUUCCCUAAAACUAAGAAAGACAUCUCUAAGACACAGAACAUCUGACCACAAAGACCCGGCUACCGACCGACGGACCAAGUUACCCUAGGGAUAACAGCGCAAUCCCCUUCCAGAGUCCAUAUCGACAAGGGGGUUUACGACCUCGAUGUUGGAUCAGGAC
rnacentral:rRNA from 1 species